UAUUUUUUGAGAAAUAGUGACUUUGUAUAAAAGAUGAUGAAGGAAUCAACUAUUGUAUUCACUAUUCUUUGGGUGUUCAUUUUGCUCGGUUCACAAUCAUGUAUAGUAUUCGGAAAAGAUCAAAAAUGUCAAACAGCAAAAGAUUGUGCUCCUUCUUGUCAACUUGGAAUUUCGACUUGUACUGAUGGAAUUUGUGGAUGUAUUGAGGGAAUAUGAAGGAGUGUUUCUUUUAAGAAA